AGCCCAGUUAUUAUUAUUAUUUAAAUAAAAUAAAAUAAAAAGAGAAUAAAAUAACCCCCUCCUCUCAAUCCCUAUGUCCAAGCCUAGCUUUUUUCGCUCGGCCAUUAAUCUUGAUUGUCUGUGGUGAAGAUUAGAAAAGGCAAGAUGACGAGGAAGAAUCACCAACGUUAAGAUUCUGGUUGUAAUUCCCACCUUUUAUCAAGUGGAAUAGCUAAACCCUCAAGACCACCGAAGGAGCAUAAGAGAUCAAGGGGCGCUGGUGGGAGAAAGGAAAUGUAUGUGAAAUCAAUUUUGGCGCUGGUGGGAAAAAGGAAAUGUAUGUGAAAUCAAUUUUUAUAAUAUCCGCCUUCUAAUUGA